CGGCUGGAAGAGCACCGC
rnacentral:snRNA from 1 species